rnacentral:lncRNA from 7 species
GAAUGGACAUGAUAUAUCCAUGGAGCCUCAGGAGCGAUCACAUCUGGGCACUCACUGAUGACAUGUCUUUGAGAAAAUGAUUUGGGCUGUCAGGUUGGAGACUGCUUUGACAAGUGUCAGAGAGCAGAACACAUCAUCUCCAAACAGAGCACUGUGUUUAAACCUGCUUGAGAGAGACUGAGGUGGGCAUGGCUUUUAGUGAAAGCUGAAGCCCAGACAUGGACACUCCAUAAGAUGUCUUUAGGAAAGGGGCAAAGCAGUCUGCACCCUUCCUCUUCCCCUACUGCUUCAGGAGUUGCCCCCGCCUCACCUCCUGCUCUCCUCCCCACGUCCUACACAUGGUCCUUUCUGGGGAAAAUGUUCCAGCUUCUGCAUACAGAAGGAUGGGCUGCUGGCAAACCCUGGCCAGAAGAACAGCAGCAGAGGGCAAAUGAGGCCUCAGCUCGAUGGAAGGACAUUUCCCUUGAGUUUUGGUGUGCCGGAAAGUGGAUGUAAAGGAAGGAGAGAGAGUUAUGGUGCCUUUAGUACAGAAAGCCACGUUGGUAGCAGAGAGGCCAUCACAUCCCUUAAGAAAGGAGGGAAAUAGAAGGCUCCUGAGAGACAUUUGGAGGUUUUUAAGCCUUGCCAGAACAGGUAAGCAGCCUCUCAGCCAAAUUUUCUUUGUAGCUGUAUGGAAUACAGAGGAUUUUUCUCUAAGUGAUGACAAAACUGUGUUUGCAGACAACUGAAGGAGGAACAGCUAACACUGGCAAGACACAAAAAGAAUUUGUUACAUUCUGAGCUGUGUAGAUCUAUGUGAACGGAUGAAGAAAUGUGAUAAGUUUGUCUGCCUUUCUGGAUCUUCUGCCUUGGGGUCUCUCUCUGUAAUUCUUAUCAGCUUGUAACUUUUUUUUUUGCUUCAGCUCCCCUCUGCCUACCAGUUGCAUCAACACCCUACCUCAGUUGUAAGGAGCAUCUGGAGUGGCAUUUACCUCCUCAAGUUACUAACUCUAACUUUGUCUGUCUUCAUGUGAUCUUACCACACCACUUCUGGGUCAGGAAACCCCUGAGUGCAGAUAACUGGUACUUGGAAGAUAGUAUUUGCCGUGUUAUUCCAUUCUUCCAUAGGCACCUGAUGUUGGCUGCUGCCCAACGCAGUGCUGGAUUGGUGAUUUGUUGGGAAGACCUGUUACGAUCAUUUUUAUGUUCUCCUUUUCAGAAGCGUCUCUCCAAACAAAACCUCAGGAAUAGUUACCUAAUGGGAUCUCUUUCAUCUCAUACUGCUGAGAAUCCUCAACUGUGACUGUAGGUUAGGGUACCUGAUUCUACUUCUACUCACUCUACUGGCAAUAUUCAGGCUUCCUAACUCCUGCAAGUCAUAUGCUGAGGAUAAACUGGAGGAUUCUGCUUUUGCUAGAGAGAAAUACCUAUUAUGCUGCAGAGGGCGAGUUUAGUACUCACAGGUUUUCUUUAUUCAUGAUUUGUGGCUGCUCCAAGUAUAAACUUGCUUCUUGCUCUUUGAUUAGCAAGUUCUAGCAGCCUAGCAAAGUCGCACAAUUUAUUGCUGCUAGAGAGGUUAAUGGAUCACUUUACAUGUUGAUAAUGUCUUAUUAUUGUCUUGGUUAUUAAAAUGAAUGUAGCCCAGACUCAGUACCAUUUUGCACCCUGCAAAUUACCCUUCUUUUCCCCACAUUGCCUAUAUUGACCAUGAGAAUGGCUAUUGUUUAUUACUAUUGGUGGUGUGAGAAAAUAACAAGGUUAAUGGUGUGAUUGCUGCAAGAAUGGACCAAGAAUAAUACUUAUCUAUGCUAGAGUGUGCCAGGAGUAGAUGCAAAGGUACACCUCACCCUUGGCACGGAAGAUCUGCAUCCUAAACAUUCGUAGUCUGGAUAAUUCAGUUGCUGUGUUGAAGUACUAUAGUCAGAAUGGAAUAAAUCACCACGUUGGAAUUACAAAGGUCAGAUUUCUACUCUUUUUUUUUUUUUUUUUUUAAUGUGGGAUGGUGCUGCUGAAUUUUCUUCUUGUCCUUUUUGUCUGUUUCCCUGUCUGCAAAAUGAUGAGGAAAAGAGCUGUAUCAUAUUGCAGUUGCUUUUGUUGCCACUUCUCUAUUGUUACUGAAAAUCAGGUUACUUAAGUGUUCCUCACUUGACAGUUCAUCUUCCGGGGGUGCACUACAUGGGCAUCACUUCAGAUCCUUAUGGGAACAAGGUGGCCUGGUCUGCCUUGGAGUGCCAAGGUGUUCAUGGAGCCCUGCUCCCUUGUGCCACCAUGUCAAGGAGCUGAUCUCACUUUGAAGUUUCAGAGGUUAGAGUUUGAUGCCUGCUCCUUCAAAGACUCAUCUUUAGAUUGGUCUGGGCACAAGAGUUUGAGUCAGAGCUUAUUUCCUGUUUGUAACUAGCUGGCAGAAGAAUGAGCCAAAGUAUGUGCAGCAUCCCAGGUAUUUUCCUCUGACAUUCUCUGACUAAGUUAUGAUAUUACAAACAGAGAUUGAGUUUCAUGUCCUUGCUAUUUUGCUGCUAACUCUGCCAGGACUUGGCAGUGUGGGAAGGGAGAAGAGCAGCUGUUUCUGAGGGUGAUGAAGGAGGCUGGAGCAUCACUAAUCUGUUGUUUUCUUUCAGCCUUGACUGCAACAUUCACCCAAAGGAAAGUAACCACAGCCCAUCCACAUGUAAGGAAGCCCUCAUGAAUGUCACUUUUAUCAAAUAGGCUCCUGAAUAUUUAAGCACAUAGCAAAUAAUAGAUCUGCUGCAACAAAGCAUGAAUCCGUUCUUUUUGGGGAUGGUGAAGAUGGAGGUCUUGUCCUCUUGGUAACUUGGAAGACAGGGAAACAUCAAACUUCUGAAACCCUUCUUCCAUCUUCAGCUUUCCUCCCACACAAAACCCUGGGCAUAGGAAUGCAUCCACCUGACACCUCCAGGUGGACUUCAGUAAUUCUCUGACUCUGUAGCUGAUGGUGAAUCAUAGGAUCUUCCAGCUGGCCAAGAGUGCCACCAUCUGCCUUCAUCAUGGUUCAGAGAGCUGUAAGUCAACCUCAUCCUUCAGUAAUUUUCAGUGUCAGCUGAAGGCCUGAGGGAUAAUUUUUGCAGCAAAUUUAUUAAUCUAAUGCUGCAUCAAAGGCUAAAGAUCAGCUUCUGGUCCAACCUCAGAGCCAUGUCCAGGGUGAAAUGCAACAAAUUCAUGUAAAGAAGGAAUCUAGCUCUGACUAUGAUGGUUGGGCUAGGUGAUAGGAUGGUUGGACUAGAUGAUCUUAGUGAUCUUUUCUGACCGUGAUGAUUCUUUGAUUUAUGACUCAAUAUCUCCAGAAGAGGAUUCCUGCGAACCUCAAAUCUGUGCAAUUAAGGCAAGAAGGACAUGUCCUUUUGAGUUUCUGCAGGCAUCUGAGAUGGAAUACAUGCUUCUUUAUCUGAGCAAUGAGGGAGCACAGUUUUCAGGUGAUACGAUGAUAUUCAAGGACAAAGGCCUGCAGCAAGGCAUGAUGAGUCUAAGUGAAUGAGCAAUAAAGCAGCAAAUUAAAUUUAAUGUAGCCAAACUUGAAGUAAUGUUCAUGGCAAGAAAAAUGUACUGAACUUCACGUAUAAAAUUAUGGGUUCUGGGCUCACUCAGGAGAAAGAUAUUGAGAUUAUAGCAGUUCUAUGAAAUGUCAGUUCAUUGCUCAGCAGUGGUGGAAUAAGCCAAUUAAAUAUUAACAGUUACCAAGGGGCAAGCAAAAGAGGGAAUUGCAUCAUGCCACCGAAUAAAACCAGGGUUCACUCACAUCUUGAAGAGUAUCUACUGAUCCCUUUUCUCCAGAAAUAAUACAGUGUUGACAGCGAGAACUCAAGGAAGGGCAAUAACUAUAAUUCAAAGU